UGAAUACGAGAGGCUACGGCCUUGAAGCAGUCUAUGUCAUACUUCCAAGAAAAGCUUGCACUGUCAUAAACAAAUAAUGCCUGUACCAUAACCGACACAGGUGGGUAGGUAGAGUAUACUAAGGGGCGCGAGAUAACUCUCUCUAAGGAACUCGGCAAAAUGACUCCGUAACUUCGGGAGAAGGAGUGCCUUAUUUAUAAGGUUGCAAUAACAAGAUCCAAGCAACUGUUUAUCAAAAACACAGGUCUCCGCUAAGUCGUAAGACGAUGUAUGGGGGCUGACGCCUGCCCAGUGCCAGAAAGUUAAAGAAGUUGGUUAGCAUUAGCGAAGCUGAUAACUGAAGCCCUGGUGAACGGCGGCCGUAACAAUAACGGUCCUAAGGUAGCGAAAUUCCUUGUCGGGUAAGUUCCGACCCGCACGAAAGGCGUAAUGAUUUGGAUACUGUCUCGGAGAGGGACUCGGUGAAAUAGACUUGUCUGUGAAGAUGCGGACUACCUGCACCAGGACAGAAAGACCCUAUGAAGCUUUACUGUAACUUGAGAUUGAAAUUGGACUUUAUUUGCGCAGUAUAGGUGGGAAGCGUUGAGAAUAUUCUUGCGGGAAUAUUGGAGCUAUCAGUGAGAUACCACUCUUGUAAUGUUAGAUUUCUAACUUUGAAUCAUUAUCUGGUCAAAGGACAGUUUCAGGCGGGCAGUUUGACUGGGGCGGUCGCCUCCCAAACGGUAACGGAGGCGUACAAAGGUUUCCUCUGAACGGGUAGAAAUCGUAUCUAGAGUGUAAAGGCAUAAGGAAGCUUGACUGUGAGACCUACAAGUCGAGCAGGGACGAAAGUCGGUCUUAGUGAUCUGACGGUUCUGAGUGGAAAGGCCGUCACUCAACGGAUAAAAGUUACUCUAGGAUAACAGGCUGAUCUCCCCCAAGAGUUCACAUCGACGGGGAGGUUUGGCACCUCGAUGUCGGCUCAUCGCAUCCUGGGGCGGUAGUACGUCCCAAGGGUUGGGCUGUUCGCCCAUGAAAGCGGUACGCGAGCUGGGUUCAGAACGUCGUGAGACAGUUCGGUCCAUAUCCGGUGUAGGCGUUAGAAUAUUGAGAGGAGCCUUCUUUAGUACGAGAGGACCGAGAAGGACAUACCUCUGGUGUACCAGUUAUCGUGCCAACGGUAAACGCUGGGUAGCUAUGUAUGGAGAGGAUAAUCGCUGAAAGCAUCUAAGUGGGAAGCCCACCUCAAGAUAAG
rnacentral:rRNA from 1 species